UGGGAACUCAACAUCAGAUUAAAACUAAGUAUUUAUUCCAUGAUACAGAUAGAUAUGCAUAUUCUUAGACAAGCUUUUGGAUCAGUUGCCAUUGGUCUCUUGAUCAUGCCAGACGUCAGAUAUUGGACUUGAUUUUGAUUUUUUUACACAAAUCUACAUCUGAAUUAAAGAUGACAAAAUAAUUCUGUUUAUCAUUGAAACUAUUAAUUUGUGGCUUACAGGCAGAAGAUUCUUGAGUAUAGAGAAGCUAGAUCACUCAUGGAAGGACCGACAGUCAAAUGAGCUCUCACAGAGAUGAACAGAUUCCUAUGACUUCUUAUUUUCAUGUUAGGUAUGAAAUCAAAAUACACGUUGUUUAAAUAUGUGGGACCUGGAAUGGAAUUGUAACAUCACACUGGCUCUCCUGUUGGUUACUGUCAAGUUCAAGUGUCUCUUCUAUGAUGCAGUUUCAUCAAAGAACAGAAAAAAUAGCCAUGGAGACUUUCAGCGCUUCCUCCACUUCCCUUAAGAUUCAAAACCCAAGAUCAACCUGACUCUGUAGAUUAUAUCCUACAUUAAAAUGAUUUUAGAAUUUUAGAAUAUAUAAUGAUUUACUCUGCCACAGGUUUUAUAGUGAGUUUGCAAGGCCUCAGGCCUGAGGCUUGUUAGGCUUUCUCUGUCCGAGCUUUUCUUUACCUACCUGCAGGUUUGUUUUACUUGGUUUAGCUGUAACAGUAAUUCUUCUAACUGACCAGGUGGCUAUAGCUAACUUUGCCUUUGUUUCUCUAUGCAUGGUACCACCAGGGUUUUCCAGCUCUUCACAUACCAGCGUAGGGAGUGGAGCAGAAAAACAAAGGUCUUGUGCCAUUGCAGAGGCC
rnacentral:lncRNA from 1 species